UACGGGGGGGGCAAGCGUUGUUCGGAAUUACUGGGCGUAAAGGGCUCGUAGGUGGCCAACUAAGUCAGACGUGAAAUCCCUCGGCUUAACCGGGGAACUGCGUCUGAUACUGGAUGGCUUGAGUUUGGGAGAGGGACGCGGAAUUCCAGGUGUAGCGGUGAAAUGCGUAGAGCUCGGGAAGAACAUCGGUGGCGAAAGCGCUCUGCUGGACUGCAACUGACACUCAGGGACGAAAGCUAGGGGAGCGAAUGGG
rnacentral:rRNA from 1 species